rnacentral:rRNA from 1 species
GAUGAACGCUGGCGGCGUGCCUAAUACAUGCAGGUCGAGCGAAUGGAUUAGGAGCUUGCUCUUAUGAAGUUAGCGGCGGACGGGUGAGUAACACGUGGGUAACCUGCCCAUAAGACUGGGAUAACUCCGGGAAACCGGGGCUAAUACCGGAUAACAUUUUGAACCGCAUGGUUCGAAAUUGAAAGGCGGCUUCGGCUGUCACUUAUGGAUGGACCCGCGUCGCAUUAGCUAGUAGGUGAGGUAACGGCUCACCAAGGCAACGAUGCGUAGCCGACCUGAGAGGGUGAUCGGCCACACUGGGACUGAGACACGGCCCAGACUCCUACGGGAGGCAGCAGUAGGGAAUCUUCCGCAAUGGACGAAAGUCUGACGGAGCAGCGCCGCGUGAGUGAUGAAGGCUUUCGGGUCGUAAAACUCUGUUGUUAGGGAAGAACAAGUGCUAGUUGAAUAAGCUGGCACCUUGACGAUACCUAACCAGAAAGCCACGGCUAACUACGUGCCAGCCGCCGCAGUAA